rnacentral:rRNA from 1 species
UACGUAGGGUGCGAGCGUUAAUCGGAAUUACUGGGCGUAAAGCGUGCGCAGGCGGUUUUGUAAGCCAGAUGUGAAAUCCCCGGGCUCAACCUGGGAAUGGCGAUGGUGACUGCAAGGCUAGAGUUUGGCAGAGGGGGGUAGAAUUCCACGUGUAGCAGUGAAAUGCGUAGAUAUGUGGAGGAACACCGAUGGCGAAGGCAGCCCCCUGGGUCAAAACUGACGCUCAUGCACGAAAGCGUGGGGAGCAAACAGG